GGAGCACAGAGCAAUCUGUGUGACUGCGUACCUUUUGUAUAAUGGGUCAGCGACUUAUAUUCUGUAGCAAGGUUAACCGAAUAGGGGAGCCGAAGGGAAACCGAGUCUUAACUGGGCGUUAAGUUGCAGGGUAUAGACCCGAAACCCGGUGAUCUAGCCAUGGGCAGGUUGAAGGUUGGGUAACACUAACUGGAGGACCGAACCGACUAAUGUUGAAAAAUUAGCGGAUGACUUGUGGCUGGGGGUGAAAGGCCAAUCAAACCGGGAGAUAGCUGGUUCUCCCCGAAAGCUAUUUAGGUAGCGCCUCGUGAAUUCAUCUCCGGGGGUAGAGCACUGUUUCGGCAAGGGGGUCAUCCCGACUUACCAACCCGAUGCAAACUGCGAAUACCGGAGAAUGUUAUCACGGGAGACACACGGCGGGUGCUAACGUCCGUCGUGAAGAGGGAAACAACCCAGACCGCCAGCUAAGGUCCCAAAGUCAUGGUUAAGUGGGAAACGAUGUGGGAAGGCCCAGACAGCCAGGAUGUUGGCUUAGAAGCAGCCAUCAUUUAAAGAAAGCGUAAUAGCUCACUGGUCGAGUCGGCCUGCGCGGAAGAUGUAACGGGGCUAAACCAUGCACCGAAGCUGCGGCAGCGACACUGUGUGUUGUUGGGUAGGGGAGCGUUCUGUAAGCCUGUGAAGGUGUGCUGUGAGGCAUGCUGGAGGUAUCAGAAGUGCGAAUGCUGACAUAAGUAACGAUAAAGCGGGUGAAAAGCCCGCUCGCCGGAAGACCAAGGGUUCCUGUCCAACGUUAAUCGGGGCAGGGUGAGUCGACCCCUAAGGCGAGGCCGAAAGGCGUAGUCGAUGGGAAACAGGUUAAUAUUCCUGUACUUGGUGUUACUGCGAAGGGGGGACGGAGAAGGCUAUGUUGGCCGGGCGACGGUUGUCCCGGUUUAAGCGUGUAGGCUGGUUUUCCAGGCAAAUCCGGAAAAUCAAGGCUGAGGCGUGAUGACGAGGCACUACGGUGCUGAAGCAACAAAUGCCCUGCUUCCAGGAAAAGCCUCUAAGCAUCAGGUAACAUCAAAUCGUACCCCAAACCGACACAGGUGGUCAGGUAGAGAAUACCAAGGCGCUUGAGAGAACUCGGGUGAAGGAACUAGGCAAAAUGGUGCCGUAACUUCGGGAGAAGGCACGCUGAUAUGUAGGUGAAGUCCCUCGCGGAUGGAGCUGAAAUCAGUCGAAGAUACCAGCUGGCUGCAACUGUUUAUUAAAAACACAGCACUGUGCAAACACGAAAGUGGACGUAUACGGUGUGACGCCUGCCCGGUGCCGGAAGGUUAAUUGAUGGGGUCAGCGCAAGCGAAGCUCUUGAUCGAAGCCCCGGUAAACGGCGGCCGUAACUAUAACGGUCCUAAGGUAGCGAAAUUCCUUGUCGGGUAAGUUCCGACCUGCACGAAUGGCGUAAUGAUGGCCAGGCUGUCUCCACCCGAGACUCAGUGAAAUUGAACUCGCUGUGAAGAUGCAGUGUACCCGCGGCAAGACGGAAAGACCCCGUGAACCUUUACUAUAGCUUGACACUGAACAUUGAGCCUUGAUGUGUAGGAUAGGUGGGAGGCUUUGAAGUGUGGACGCCAGUCUGCAUGGAGCCGACCUUGAAAUACCACCCUUUAAUGUUUGAUGUUCUAACGUGGACCCGUGAUCCGGGUUGCGGACAGUGUCUGGUGGGUAGUUUGACUGGGGCGGUCUCCUCCUAAAGAGUAACGGAGGAGCACGAAGGUUGGCUAAUCCUGGUCGGACAUCAGGAGGUUAGUGCAAUGGCAUAAGCCAGCUUGACUGCGAGCGUGACGGCGCGAGCAGGUGCGAAAGCAGGUCAUAGUGAUCCGGUGGUUCUGAAUGGAAGGGCCAUCGCUCAACGGAUAAAAGGUACUCCGGGGAUAACAGGCUGAUACCGCCCAAGAGUUCAUAUCGACGGCGGUGUUUGGCACCUCGAUGUCGGCUCAUCACAUCCUGGGGCUGAAGUAGGUCCCAAGGGUAUGGCUGUUCGCCAUUUAAAGUGGUACGCGAGCUGGGUUUAGAACGUCGUGAGACAGUUCGGUCCCUAUCUGCCGUGGGCGCUGGAGAACUGAGGGGGGCUGCUCCUAGUACGAGAGGACCGGAGUGGACGCAUCACUGGUGUUCGGGUUGUCAUGCCAAUGGCACUGCCCGGUAGCUAAAUGCGGAAGAGAUAAGUGCUGAAAGCAUCUAAGCACGAAACUUGCCCCGAGAUGAGUUCUCCCUGACCCUUUAAGGGUCCUGAAGGAACGUUGAAGACGACGACGUUGAUAGGCCGGGUGUGUAAGCGCAGCGAUGCGUUGAGCUAACCGGUACUAAUGAACCGUGAGGCUUAACCUUACAACGCCGAAGGUGUUU
rnacentral:rRNA from 1 species